GAUGAAGAACGUAGCGAAAUGCGAUAAGUAAUGCGAAUUGCAGAAUUCAGUGAAUCAUCGAAUCUUUGAACGCACAUUGCGCCCGCUAGUAUUCUGGCGGGCAUGCCUGUUCGAGCGUCAUUUCAACCAUCAAGCUCCUUAGCUUGUGUUGGGGACCUGCGGCUGCCGCAGCCCCCGAAAUGCAGUGGCGGGCUCGUUGUCACACCGAGUGCAGUAAUCAUUCUUCUCUCCGGGCGUGGCGGCGGGUUCCGGCCGUAAAAUCACCAAUUUAUCAAGGUUGACCUCGGAUCAGGUAGGAAUACCCGCUGAACUUAAGCAUAUCAAUAAGCGGAGGA
rnacentral:misc_RNA from 1 species